CACGCUGUAAACGAUGAUAACUUGUUGUUGGGCACGUAGUGCUCAGUGGCUAAGCGAAAGCGAUAAGUUAUCCACCUGGGGAGUACGAUCGCAAGGUUGAAACUCAAAGGAAUUGACGGGGGCCCGCACAAGCGGAGGAGCAUGUGGUUUAAUUCGAUGAUACGCGAGGAACCUUACCCGGGCUCGAACGUAUAUUGAAUAAUGUGGAAACAUGUUAGUCGUAAGACAAUAUACGAGGUGC
rnacentral:rRNA from 1 species